rnacentral:piRNA from 1 species
UGCAGAAGCUGGCUGUUUUUUAGGGUGGAC